rnacentral:rRNA from 1 species
GACGAACGCUGGCGGCGUGCUUAACACAUGCAAGUCGAACGAGACGAUUGAAAGCCUGCUUUUGAAAGUCGAGUGGCAAACGGGUGAGUAACGCGUAGACAACCUGCCUUUGAGAUGGGGACAACAGUUCGAAAGGACUGCUAAUACCGAAUGUUGUAUAUUUUCCACAUGGAAGAUAUAUUAAAGAUGGCCUCUAUUUAUAAGCUAUCGCUCAAAGAUGGGUCUGCGUCUGAUUAGCUGGUUGGUGGGGUAACGGCCUACCAAGGCGACGACCAGUAGCCGGUCUGAGAGGAUGAACGGCCACAUUGGGACUGAGACACGGCCCAGACUCCUACGGGAGGCAGCAGUGGGAAAUCUUCCACAAUGGACGAAAGUCUGAUGGAGCAACGCCGCGUGAGUGAAGAAGGGUUUCGGCUCGUAAAGCUCUGUUGUCGGGGACGAAUGUGCAGUAUUUGAAUAAAGUACUGUAAUGACGGUACCUGACGAGGAAGCCACGGCUAACUACGUGCCAGCCGCCGCCGUAA